GUAACGGUGUCUUUAGACACCACCUUUUGUCUUCAACAAAUUUAUU
rfam:Picea glauca, whole genome shotgun sequence.